AUUGAACGCUGGCGGAAUGCUUUACACAUGCAAAUCGAGCGGCAGCGCGGGGGGCAACCCUGGCGGCGAGCGGCGAACGGGUGAGUAACAUAUCGGAACGUACCCAGUCGUGGGGGAUAACUAUCCGAAAGGAUAGCUAAUACCGCAUACGUCCUGAGGGAGAAAGCGGGGGAUCGCAAGACCUCGCGCGAUUGGAGCGGCCGAUAUCGGAUUAGCUAGUUGGUGGGUAAAGGCUCACCAAGGCGACGAUCCGUAGCGGGUCUGAGAGGACGACCCGCCACACUGGAACUGAGACACGGUCCAGACUCCUACGGGAGGCAGCAGUGGGGAAUUUUGGACAAUGGGGGCAACCCUGAUCCAGCCAUUCCGCGUGAGUGAAGAAGGCCU
rnacentral:rRNA from 1 species